rnacentral:rRNA from 1 species
AGCUCCAAUAGCGUAUAUUAAAGUUGCUGCGAUUAAAAAGCUCGUAGUUGGACUUAAAACGUGUAUUUGCUGGUUUAUCUUUUCGGAUAAUAUUGGCAAUACUGUUUACAUAGUUGUGAACUUUUGAUGAUCUUGAUCGGUUGUCAUUUGUAAGCAACAUGUUUACUUUGAAAAAAUUGGAGUGCUCAAAGCCGGCUUGUGCUGGAACAGUGGUGCAUGGAAUGAUGAAAUAAGACUUCGGUCUUAUUUUGUUGGUUUUAGAGAUCGAAGUAAUGAUUAAAAGGAACUGACGGGGGCAUCUGUAUACCAGGGGGAGAGGUGAAAUUCGUAGAUCCUUGGUAGACAAACAACUGCGAAAGCAUUUGCCAAGAAUGUUUUCAUUAAUCAAGAACGAAAGUAG